rnacentral:rRNA from 1 species
UACGGAGGGUGCAAGCGUUAUCCGGAUUCACUGGGUUUAAAGGGUGCGUAGGUGGGUUGGUAAGUCAGUGGUGAAAUCCCCGGGCUUAACUUGGGAACUGCCAUUGAUACUAUUAAUCUUGAAUACCGUGGAGGUUAGCGGAAUAUGUCAUGUAGCGGUGAAAUGCUUAGAUAUGACAUAGAACACCAAUUGCGAAGGCAGCUGGCUACACGAAUAUUGACACUGAUGCACGAAAGCGUGGGGAUCAAACAGG